UUCCGGUUGAUCCUGCCGGAGGACAUUGCUAUUGGGAUUCGAUUUAGCCAUGCUAGUCGAACGAGUUUAGACUCGUGGCGAAUAGCUCAGUAACACGUGGCCAAGCUCCCCUUCAGUCAGCGAUACCCUCGGGAAACUGAGGUUAACAGCUGAUACAAAACGCCAGCUGGAAUGCGGCGUUUCAGAAAGACAUCGCUGAAGGAUGCGGCUGCGGCCGAUUAGGUAGACGGUGGGGUAACGGCCCACCGUGCCAGUAAUCGGUACGGGUGAUGAGAGUCAGAGCCCGGAGACGGAAUCUGAGACAAGAUUCCGGGCCCUACGGGGCGCAGCAGGCGCGAAACCUUUACACUGCACGGAAGUGCGAUAGGGGAAUCCCAAGUGCGAGGGCAUAUUAGCCCUCGCUUUUCUCGACUGUAAGGUGGUCGACGAAUAAGAGCUGGGCAAGACCGGUGCCAGCCGCCGCGGUAAUACCGGCAGCUCAAGUGAUGUCCCAUAUUAUUGGGCCUAAAGCGUCCGUAGCUGGCCGACCAAGUCUCCCGGGAAAUCCACCCGCCCAACGGGUGGGCGUCCGGUAGAAACUGGCCGGCUUGGAACCGGAAGGCUCAGAGAGUACGUCCGGGGUAGGAGUGAAGUCCCGUAAUCCCGGACGGACUACCGAUGGCGAAAGCACUCUG
rnacentral:rRNA from 1 species